rnacentral:misc_RNA from 1 species
GAUGAAGAACGUAGCGAAAUGCGAUACGUAAUGUGAAUUGCAGAAUUCAGUGAAUCAUCGAGUCUUUGAACGCACAUUGCGCCCCCUGGUAUUCCGAGGGGCAUGCCUAUUCGAGCGUCAUUAUCACCCCUCAAGCCUAGCUUGGUGUUGAGGCCUGCUGUCAAGGCAGCCUCUAAAAUCAGUGGCAGUGCUGUCAGGCUCUAAGCGUAGUAAAUCUAAUCGCUAUAGACACCUGGUGGACACUCGCCAGAACCCCCCCAUUUUUUAAUGAUUGACCUCGGAUUAGGUAGGGAUACCCGCUGAACUUAAGCAUAUCAAUAAGCGGAGGA